UACAGAGGGUGCAAGCGUUAAUCGGAAUUACUGGGCGUAAAGCGCACGUAGGUGGCUUGAUAAGUUGGGUGUGAAAUCUCACAGCUUAACUGUGAAACUGCAUUGGAUACUAUUCGGCUAGAGAGUUGGAGGGGGACUGGAAUUCUUGGUGUAGCAGUGAAAUGCGUAGAUAUCAAGAGGAACACCAGUGGCGAAGGCGAGUCCCUGGACAACUUCUGACGCUGAGGCACGAAAGCUAGGGGAGCAAACAGG
rnacentral:rRNA from 1 species